rnacentral:rRNA from 1 species
UCCCAGCAGUCCAAGUCGCAGCCACAUUUGUUGGGUCUAAAAUAUCCGUAGCUUGCCUUUCAAGUCUUUUGUGAAAUCGGGACUCUCAAGGUUCCGGCGUGCAAAAGAUACUGUAAGGCUAGAGACCGGGAGGCGUAAGAAGUACGUAAGGGGUAGCGGUAAAAUGCGUUGAUCCCUUGUGGACUAACAGUCGCGAAGGCGUCUUACGAGAACGGUUCUGACAGUGAGGGAUGAAGGCUAGGGGCGCAAAGUGG